UACAGAGGCCUCGAGCGUUUAGGCGGAAUCACUGGGCUUAAAGCGUGUGUAGGCGGACCGUUAAGUACCUUGUGAAAUCCCCCGGCUCAACCGGGGAACGGCUGGGUAUACUGGCGGUCUUGAGCCAUCCAGGGGCAGUCGGAACAGACGGUGGAGCGGUGAAAUGCGUAGAUAUCGUCUGGAACGCCGAAGGUGAAAACAGACUGCUGGGGAUGCGCUGACGCUGGAGACACGAAAGCCAGGGGGAGCGAACGGGG
rnacentral:rRNA from 1 species